AGGUUCCUAGCGGCGAACGGGUGAGUAACACGUGGGUGAUCUGCCCUGCACUCUGGGAUAAGCUUGGGAAACUGGGUCUAAUACCGGAUAUGACCACAUGCCGCAUGGUGUGUGGUGGAAAGAUUUAUCGGUGCAGGAUGGGCCCGCGGCCUAUCAGCUUGUUGGUGGGGUAAUGGCCUACCAAGGCGACGACGGGUAGCCGACCUGAGAGGGUGACCGGCCACACUGGGACUGAGACACGGCCCAGACUCCUACGGGAGGCAGCAGUGGGGAAUAUUGCACAAUGGGCGGAAGCCUGAUGCAGCGACGCCGCGUGAGGGAUGAAGGCCUUCGGGUUGUAAACCUCUUUCAGCAGGGACGAAGCGUGAGUGACGGUACCUGCAGAAGAAGCACCGGCUAACUACGUGCCAGCAGCCGCGGUAAUACGUAGGGUGCGAGCGUUGUCCGGAACUACUGGGCGUAAAGAGUUCGUAGGCGGUUUGUCGCGUCGUUUGUGAAAACCCGGGGCUCACCUUCGGGCUUGCAGGCGAUACGGGCAGACUUGAGUGUCUCAGGGGAGACUGGAAUUCCUGGCGUAGCGGUGAAAUGCGCAGAUAUCAGGAGGAACACCGGUGGCGAAGGCGGGUCUCUGGGAAACAACUGAUGCUGAGGAACGAAAGCGUGGGUAGCUAACAGGAUUAGAUACCCUGGGAGUCCACGCCGUAAACGGCGGGCGCCAAGUGUGGGUUCCUUCCACGGGAUCUGUGCCUUACCUACUGCAUUAUGCGUCCCGCCUUGGCGAGUACGGCUACCGCAAGGCUAAAACUCAAAGGAAUUGACGGGGGCCCGCACAAGCGGCGGAGCAUGUGAUUAAUUCGAUGCAACGCGAAGAACCUUACCUGGUUUGACAUCACCGGAAAACCGUAGAGAUACGGUCCCCCUUGUGGUCGGUGUACAGGUGGUGCAUGGCUGUCGUCAGCUCUUGUCGUGAGAUGUUGGGUUAAGUCCCGCAGCGAGCGCAACCCUUGUCUUAUGUUGCCAGAAACGUUAUGGCGGGGACUCGUAAAAGACUGCCGGGGUGAACUGGGAGGAAGGGGGGGGGGAGGUGAAGUCAUCAUGCCCCUUAUGUCCAGGGCUUCACACAUGCUACAAUGGCCAGUACAGAGGGGUGCGAGACCGUGAGGUGGAGCGAAUCCCUUAAAACUGGUCUCAGUUCGGAUCGGGGUCUGCAACUCGACCCCGUGAAGUAGAAGUCGCUAGUAAUAGCAGAUCAGCAACGCUGCGGUGAAUACGUUCCCGGGCCUUGUACACACCGCCCGUCACGUCAU
rnacentral:rRNA from 1 species